rnacentral:rRNA from 1 species
CCAGAGAUGGAUUGGUGCCUUCGGGAACUGUGAGACAGGUGCUGCAUGGCUGUCGUCAGCUCGUGUUGUGAAAUGUUGGGUUAAGUCCCGCAACGAGCGCAACCCUUAUCCUUUGUUGCCAGCGGUCCGGCCGGGAACUCAAAGGAGACUGCCAGUGAUAAACUGGAGGAAGGUGGGGAUGACGUCAAGUCAUCAUGGCCCUUACGACCAGGGCUACACACGUGCUACAAUGGCGCAUACAAAGAGAAGCGACCUCGCGAGAGCAAGCGGACCUCAUAAAGUGCGUCGUAGUCCGGAUUGGAGUCUGCAACUCGACUCCAUGAAGUCGGAAUCGCUAGUAAUCGUGGAUCAGAAUGCCACGGUGAAUACGUUCCCGGGCCUUGUACACACCGCCCGUCACACCAUGGGAGUGGGUUGCAAAAGAAGUAGGUAGCUUAACCUUCGGGAGGGCGCUUACCACUUUGUGAUUCAUGACUGGGGUGAAGUCGUAACAAGGUAACCGUAGGGGAACCUGCGGUUGGAUCAC